rnacentral:rRNA from 1 species
UACGUAGGUGACAAGCGUUGUCCGGAUUUACUGGGCGUAAAGAGCGCGCAGGCGGUCGUUCAAGUCGAGUGUGAAAGCCCCCGGCUCAACUGGGGAGGGUCAUUCGAUACUGAUCGACUCGAAGGCAGGAGAGGGUAGUGGAAUUCCCGGUGUAGUGGUGAAAUGCGUAGAUAUCGGGGAGGAACACCAGUGGCGAAGGCGACUACCUGGCCUGUUCUUGACGCUGAGGCGCGAAAGCUAGGGGAGCAAACGGG